rnacentral:rRNA from 1 species
UAAGGAAUAUUGGUCAAUGGACGCAAGUCUGAACCAGCCAUGCCGCGUGAAGGAUGAAGGUCCUCUGGAUUGUAAACUUCUUUUAUCUGGGACGAAAACGGGAUUUUUAUCUCAAUUGACGGUACCAGAGGAAUAAGCACCGGCUAACUCCGUGCCAGCAGCCGCGGUAAUACGGAGGGUGCAAGCGUUAUCCGGAUUCACUGGGUUUAAAGGGUGCGUAGGUGGGCAGAUAAGUCAGUGGUGAAAUCUUCCGGCUUAACCGGGAAACUGCCGUUGAUACUAUUUGUCUUGAAUAUUGCGGAGGUAAGCGGAAUAUGUCAUGUAGCGGUGAAAUGCUUAGAUAUGACAUAGAACACCAAUUGCGAAGGCAGCUUACUACACAAUCAUUGACACUGAGGCACGAAAGCGUGGG